UGGCGGACGGGUGAGUAAUGUCUGGGAAACUGCCUGAUGGAGGGGGGAGUAACUACUGGAAACGGUAGCUAAUACCGCAUAACGUCGCAAGACCAAAGAGGGGGACCUUCGGGCCUCUUGCCAUCGGAUGUGCCCAGAUGGGAUUAGCUAGUAGGUGGGGUAACGGCUCACCUAGGCGACGAUCCCUAGCUGGUCUGAGAGGAUGACCAGCCACACUGGAACUGAGACACGGACCAGACUCCUACGGGAGGCAGCAUG
rnacentral:rRNA from 1 species